AGUCCUCAAAGGUCAAGAACAACCUAAUGGUCUGUGGGGCUCCUACAUGCUGAAAAGUGUGCUUCCCAGGAUGUGAACACAUCACUGCUUAUACUGCUUCCCCAAACCCCUUCUAGCUUCAGUAAUAGGAGAGGCUCUGUACUCAAGACUCAGAAUGCAGCUUGAAUGAUGGAAUUUGUGAAGUGCAGACACUCUGAUUCCCUAGGAUGUGAUAGCAGAUGUUUCUACAGAUCUUCUGAAAUUUGCUGCAUUUGUUCUCCCAACUUAGAGACCUCUUCACCAUCCCUAGGAGGUUUCAAGCUUCUCCCAGAGAUGGGGACAGAUUGCCACAAAUAG
rnacentral:lncRNA from 12 species